AUGUCGGGCCAGAGGAUGAGCCUUCUCUCCCAGAUCAAUGACAGAGAGAUGUUCUGGAAUGCUAAGGUUCUGGUGUCCCGCAUGUGGCACUACCGAGGUGGGACCGAUGAAGGUGCCAUUAUGCAUACUGACAUUGUGGUGCUUGACAAAGAGGGAACCCACAUGUAUGGCCGGAUCCCUACUGAGCCAGCUAUCAGCCUGCAAGAUGUCUUGCAGGAAGGCAGUGUUUAUAUAAUGAAGAGAUUCAUGUGCAAACCAUCAAAGCCCACUUACAGGGUUGUUGACAGCCCAUUUAUGAUGCAGUUCACUCGCUUUACUACUGUUGAUCCUGUGGUGGAUGAUGAAGAAGAUUUCCCAUACUGCACUUACAGCCUUAUGUCCUUCUCGGAUAUCCCAAUACCAGGCCCGCACACUCCUCACUUUAUCGAUGUGAUUGGCCGGAUUAUUGCUGUCACAGACAUUAUUGUUGUACACUCACAACAUCAAGCUGGUCCUUCAGAUACCAGGACUGUGGUUCUCCAGGAUCAAAUGUAUUAA
rnacentral:rRNA from 1 species